GACGAACGCUGGCGGCGUGCUUAACACAUGCAAGUCGAACGGAAAGGCCUUGCUUUUGUGGGGUGCUCGAGUGGCGAACGGGUGAGUAACACGUGAGUAACCUGCCCUUGACUUUGGGAUAACUUCAGGAAACUGGGCUAAUACCGGAUAGGAGCUCCUGCUGCAUGGUGGGGGUUGGAAAGUUUCGGCGAUUGGGGAUGGACUCGCGGCUUAUCAGCUUGUUGGUGGGGUAGUGGCUUACCAAGGCUUUGACGGGUAGCCGGCCUGAGAGGGUGACCGGCCACAUUGGGACUGAGAUACGGCCCAGACUCCUACGGGAGGCAGCAGUGGGAAUAUUGCACAAUGGGCGGAAGCCUGAUGCAGCAACGCCGCGUGCGGGAUGACGGCCUUCGGGUUGUAAACCGCUUUCGCCUGUGACGAAGCGUGAGUGACGGUAAUGGGUAAAGAAGCACCGGCUAACUACGUG
rnacentral:rRNA from 1 species